rnacentral:rRNA from 1 species
GACAGAGGGGGCAAGCGUUGCUCGGAAUUACUGGGCGUAAAGGGCGCGUAGGCGGGAUGGCAAGUCGGUCGUGAAAUGCCUCGGCUCAACUGAGGAUCGUCGAUCGAUACUGCCGUUCUUGAGGAUUGCAGAGGAGACUGGAAUUCCCGGUGUAGCGGUGAAAUGUGUAGGGAUCGGGAGGAACACCGGUGGCGAAGGCGGGUCUCUGGGCAAUUCCUGACGCUGAGGCGCGAAAGCGUGGGGAGCAAACGGG